AUGGGAAGCCAAACAAAUUAUUUAGGUGAAAAUUACACAAAAGAGUUGGAAACACCUACAAAUAUCACUAUAAAAAAGAUUCUUGGCUUGUUGAUGGGCAUCAUAGAUGCGGAUGAUGAAAGGAAGAGUGAAGUGAUCUCAUUGGGAAUAGGAGAUCCAACAGCUCAUUCAUGCUUUCACACAACAAAUGCAGCUAAGGAAGCUGUUGUUGAGAGUCUUCUUAUUGAUAAAUUCAAUGGCUAUUCUCCCUCUGUUGGUCUUCCAACUACUAGAAAGGCAAUUGCAAGCUACUUAUCAAGAGAUCUUUGUUAUGAAUUAUCACCAGAAGAUGUGUAUAUUACUGUUGGUUGCACACAAGCUAUAGAAAUAGCAGUGUCUUUUCUUGCAAAACCUAAUUCUAACAUUUUGAUACCAAGGCCUGGCUACCCAACUUAUGCACUUUGUGCUUCUUUUAGAAAUAUUGAAGUUAGGUACUAUGAUCUUGUACCUCAAAAUAAUUGACAACUUAAUUUGGAGGCAAUUGAAGAUUUGGUUGAUCAAAAUACUAUUGCAAUUGUUAUUAUAAAUCCUGGAAAUCCUUGUGGAAAUGUCUACUCUUAUGACCAUUUAAAGAAGAUAGCAGAAACUGCAAAGAGAGUGAAGACAUUGAUCAUAGCAGAUGAAGUUUAUGGACAUCUUGCUUUUGGAGAAACCCCUUUUAUACCAAUGGGAUUAUUUAGUUCAAUAACACCAAUAUUAACACUUGGUUCUUUGUCAAAAAGAUGGUUAAUUCCUGGUUGGAGACUUGGUUGGUUUGUCAUUAAUGAUCCUAAUUGCAUUUUCAAAUCCCCUAAGAUUAUUGAACGUAUCAAUAAUUAUUGUGACAUAUGUGCAAGUCCCACAACUUUCAUACAGGCAGCAGUCCCCAAAAUUAUUGAAAAUACCAAAGAGGAUUUCUUCAAAAAUACACUCAAAAUGUUAAAGAAAAAUUCAGAUAUAUGUUAUGAAAAGAUACUCGAAAUUCCAUGCCUAAAUUGCCCUUAUAAACCUCAAGGUUCAAUGGUUGUUAUGGUGAAUCUCAAUAUAAUUCUCCUCCAAAAUGUAAUUGAUGAUAUGGACUUCUUGUUUAAGCUUGCCAAGGAGGAAUAUGUCAUUUUACUUCCUGGAACUUCUGUGGGACUUAAAAAUUGGAUCAGAAUCACAUUUGCAGUUGAGUCAUCUUUUCUUGAAGAAGGAUUAAAAAGACUCAAAUCUUUUUGCCUCAGGCAUUCCAAGCCCCAAAAUUUAAUUAAUUAAUUAAUUCUAAUUUUCUGAAUUUCAUUUUCAUAAUUCUUGGUCAAUUUGGUGAAUAGAUUCAAGUAUAAUGUUUAGUCUAAAACUUUGUUGGAUUUCAGUUAUUAAUAUAAUUUCCUUAUUUAGUU